rnacentral:rRNA from 1 species
CAGGUGCUGCAUGGCUGUCGUCAGCUCGUGUUGUGAAAUGUUGGGUUAAGUCCCGCAACGAGCGCAACCCUUAUCCUUUGUUGCCAGCGGUCCGGCCGGGAACUCAAAGGAGACUGCCAGUGAUAAACUGGAGGAAGGUGGGGAUGACGUCAAGUCAUCAUGGCCCUUACGACCAGGGCUACACACGUGCUACAAUGGCGCAUACAAAGAGAAGCGACCUCGCGAGAGCAAGCGGACCUCAUAAAGUGCGUCGUAGUCCGGAUUGGAGUCUGCAACUCGACUCCAUGAAGUCGGAAUCGCUAGUAAUCGUGGAUCAGAAUGCCACGGUGAAUACGUUCCCGGGCCUUGUACACACCGCCCGUCACACCAUGGGAGUGGGUUGCAAAAGAAGUAGGUAGCUUAACCUUCGGGAGGGCGCUUACCACUUUGUGAUUCAUGACUGGGGUGAAGUCGUAACAAGGUAACCGUAGGGGAACCUGCGGUUGGAUCACCUCCUUACCUGAAAGAAGC